rnacentral:lncRNA from 1 species
AAAGCCCUCUUUCUCUCCUCCAGUGCCAUAUUCCGUUCACGGAUGGCAGCAUCCCUCUCGGCCAUGAUGGCCAUGUAAGUCUUUAUAGUAAAGUUAUUGUGGUCCUUUAUUAAAGAAAGAAUCAUUAAGCAUAUACAUAAUCAGAUCAUUAUAGUUUAAUACAGUAGCUUGUUCAUGAAAAUUAUUUUAGUUGCCAGUUAAGCGACAGCAUUAUGGUACAUAAGUAGGUUCUACCAUUUUUCUCUUUGGUUUGUUAAUCUAGAAUAGGUUCAGUCAGGUAUCCUGUUCAUGAAAAUUAUUUUGUUGCCAGUUAAGCGACAGCAUCAUGGUACAUAAGUAGGUUCUACCAGUUUUCUCUUUGGUUUGUUAAUCUAGAAUAGGUUCAGUCAGGUCUCAUUAAUUCGCAGUGGUAACUGAAGUCUAAAAGAUUUCUAAAUCAAUUACUGAUAGUUGCUGCAAUUGUAAGAUAUAUAUUUAAAGUUCCAUAAACAAAGGUACUUGCAGAUUCCUUCUAAGAAAUAUUUGAACCUACUCAGAAAAGGUACUUGCAAUUUUUUUCUGUUUCUCAUGAAAACAAGUCAACAUUACCAAACAUUCAUCUGAUACAGAAAAAUGCAAAAUCCAAAUAUAAAAGUAUGGCAUCAUACCAUCAUAUCAUUCAGGAGAAAAGGCAAAUGCUAGAAACCCAUCUUCAAAGUGGCCUUUCUGCAGAAAUAUAAGAGAAAAUACUUUAUAUAAUGAUCUCAAAGCAACCAAACUUGUAGACAAUUGAAUGUGACACAUCAGUAACAAACCCAAUAUUAUUAUUUCAAGCUUUCCUAGAGACAGGAACUUUAUCUCAUCUCCAUCUGUUCUAUCUAACAUUACUCAUAAUUAAGUCCCCUCUUAUGCCAAGAAAUAAGGAAAGUGAACACAUGUUUCCACAUAAAAAGCAGUUCUUUCUUUUACCAUCAAUGACUUGAUAAAGAAGUACAGAAAAACCCAGAUCAAAUUCCUUUUUUCUAAUAACCGUGGUAUUCGGGCCAACUUGCGCGCACUUCGACCAAUUCCACGGGAUACCUGCUACCUCCAACUAGCAAAACCAGAUCAAAUUUUUAACAAGAACAUGAACAUGGUAAUAUUAAGUUCCGUUCCCACUUUAUGUAUUUAAUGUUACUUGAUACUAAUGUUCUCUGACUCUGUGUUUCUCUAAUUUCUUCUCUUAGGGAUUCCAAUUCCUCUGUUUUUUAAUCCUUUCAAGGUACGUUACAUUUUAUUUUGUUGGUGAAGAACUUAGCGAAAAUCAAGAUCUCUGAUCAGCACAAAGCUAUUAAUCCAAUCCGAUCCAAGAUGUGUUCUCUUUUAUUUGUAUGAUUUUGUCAAUUUAUUGUGUGUGUUUUUUACUUCAAAACUUAUAUGUGGUGAUUUAAGGGUUUGAAACAGUGCGAUUAGUUUCUUCUUUCUCGUGGUGCCAUUUCUGUGUUCUUUUUAUUUGUUAUUUAUAUACAUUGUUGCUGAUUUUUUUUUGGUCGAGGUUUAGGGUUUUUCAAUCUACGGUUUGGUGACUCAUGUUAUUUUCUGUUAUUUUCCUAUCUCUCAUUGUCCCGGGUAUUUUUUAUCUGUUGUGGUGCCGAUUAUUUUCCUUUCUAGUAUUGUGUAUUUCUGUCUUAUCGCCGGCGAUUUUUCCGGCGACCCUGCUCUUUUAUUCCUAUUCUCUCUUCUGCUUUUUGUGGGUGUGUUCUGUUUUCUUGGACAGGUACCAUAUUUUUUCCGGCGAGGAUUUCCGGCAAGCUAC